UAUUGUUGUUGCGUAAAUUAUGAUUUGAGUUAUUUUUCAUUUCAUAUUUACCAAUUAUUGAUUGUUGUGGCAGUUUUAACGUUGUAUGCAAACAUUGCUUUGAAAUUCAUGUUCCGGAAACGAUCUUUCAAGGGUAGCCAGUCCAGUUCACUUAAUAUGUUUUCGGAACUUAUCUCGUAACUACUGCCAUGCAGUGAUUACUUGUGCCGCUGUGUUUUGUAAGGCCAAUGAAAAUUGAUAUCAUGUUUCUCGUUCCCGCCCGCAUGGGAUUUAUCUGCCGCACGAAAAUUUUUCAUUAUUCAUUAUUUUUGAAAAAUAGGCUUAACAAAACACCAAAUUGAUCUCCAGAUCAAAGUCUUAUUGCUGCAUUCCGCAAGCGCAACUCAAAUUGUAUCUUUCUAAAGAUAUUACUGGCCCGAAUGCCUCUAUUUUUCAUGUCAGCCCUGGUAUGCAUAGAAAUAUACUGUAGUGUAGGACGUAUUAAAUUAAAAUGAAUUAUACACCGAUUUACUUCAGAUUUUUAUGGGGGUUUUUACUGGGUCAAGGAAAUUAUUGACAAGCAAUUCAAAUAAAAAAAAAUGAAAAAAU